rnacentral:rRNA from 1 species
CCCGCUGAACUUAAGCAUAUCAAUAAGCGGAGGAAAAGAAACCAACAGGGAUUGCCUCAGUAACGGCGAGUGAAGCGGCAACAGCUCAAAUUUGAAAUCUGCCUCUAGGCCGAGUUGUAAUUUGUAGAAGAUGCUUCGGGUGUGGCACUGGUCUAAGUUCCUUGGAACAGGACGUCAUAGAGGGUGAGAAUCCCGUAUGUGACUGGCUGCCUUCGCUCAUGUGAAGCUCUUUCGACGAGUCGAGUUGUUUGGGAAUGCAGCUCAAAAUGGGUGGUAAAUUCCAUCUAAAGCUAAAUAUUGGCGAGAGACCGAUAGCGAACAAGUACCGUGAGGGAAAGAUGAAAAGCACUUUGGAAAGAGAGUUAAACAGUACGUGAAAUUGUUGAAAGGGAAACGUUUGAAGUCAGUCGCGUCGGCCGAGACUCAACCUUGCUUUCGCUAGGUGCACUUCUCGGUUGACGGGUCAGCAUCAAUUUCGACCGCCGGAUAAAGGUCGGGGGAAUGUGGCAUCCUUCGGGAUGUGUUAUAGACCUCGAUUCGGAUACGGCGAUUGGGAUUGAGGAACUCGGCGCUCUGCGUCCAGGAUGCUGGCAUAAUGGCUUUAAGCGACCCGUCUUGAAACACGG